rnacentral:sRNA from 1 species
GACAACUGUUUUGGAGAGACCAGAUGACCGCCCAUCAGCGAGAUCCAUACGAACUCGUUGGCCGAAUAUUGGGGAACAUCCUCAGCGUCGUCGCGUACGCAUUGGUCGCAUGGCCGCUGGUACGGCCUUUUAUAUGACGACGGCGCUCGCCGCGCUUUAUGCGAAGCGCAGUGUCUGACACCAUGCCACGGAUACCGAGGACUUAUGCCGGCCGUGCUUCAUCGUGGGUUUUCCAUUCCACCGGUACUUGAAGCGGAACUUGUUCGGCUACCGACCUGCAGCGGUUCACCCCUCUAUGGAGUAACAGUGAAGUUCAUUUGGUCCCGGCCGGGAAAGCUAGGGGUAUCGAGGCUGUAGUUAUCCUCGGGGGAUCGAAUAUAAGCUUCCGCAGAAGAAUGCCCCUGACGCGGCGCAGUAAGCAGUGAUCGUUCACCGUAGUGGGACAGAGGCCACCCGACGGUCUCCGCGCCUAUCGCCAGAGUGCGUAUUGCCGCAUGCGGGCAUAUUCGCGGAUGACGCGCCGUCCGCGGCGCGCGAUCUUUUCGGUU